GCAACAUCGGAAAUUCAGAAACCACGUGCCGUUAAAUAGACCAUCAAACAUUUUGUGAAUGUAGAAUGUGAGGUUAUGAGCAAGUUAAUGUUGAUAAACAUAAAUCAUUUAAGUUUUCGUUCAAAUAAAUAGAAACAAUAAAAUGCAAGAUACACAUUAUACGCGUAAAGAAGAAUCUUGCUCAGAUUGUAAAAACGAAACAUUAAAAAAAAAGUAUUUUUGUGACAAAUGCCUGUUUUCAGCCGCAAAAAAAUGGAAAGUGGAAGAACAUAGAAAAUAUCAUGAAUUUAUUCCUGGAAUUAAUUUGUUUGUGUGCAAUUAUUGUCCAUUUCGGUCUCCUAAACAAUCUCAACUAGAUCGACAUUUGAUGUUCACUCACGCCGAAGAAGCGAAUUUGAAAACUUAUUCAUGUAGAACUUGUGCGGCAACAUUUAUUUCUAAAAGUGGAUUGAAAAAACAUAGAAAAGAGGGACAUUAUAAGGAUUAAAACAGUUUGACAUUAUUAGAAGUAGGUUUUAGACUAAUUGAGUAGUUUCAAAGUUAAAUUAAUUCCUUCUGUAACUGCAAAACCAGGGUUUACUAACCAAGAGAAUGGAAAAAAAUUCAACACUUCACAAUUAGUUAAUGUUGCAUUUAUGUUAUUUUUAUCUUAACUAAUCUAAAAUAAAUAUAAUUCAGUGGUAGAUUUCUGAGAUUUUUUACGUAUGAUUGAAAAGCUGAAGAACUUCUGAUAUGAUUUAAUUCCAAAUAAGUCUUCUGAUACUAAAAUCAUAUUAGAGUAGAAAUUGUAUUAACUUACACUAUCACCAGAAAAGAAAUCUGCAAAUCUAUUGUGGUCUUUCCUUACCGUUUAGAUUCACGGGUGGGCAAUUUCCUCUUGUAUUUGUGAAUGCUGCCAAUAAUAUAUAGGUCUAAGUUUACUCAAAUGCUUUUAGCAGCAAUUUUUCUUAAGAAAUAUGUCCGAUUUUUUUAGGUUUGAUUAGGAAAUGGUGUGAACUAAAUCCACUGAAUCAGAGCAGUAUUUGCGAUUUUAUGUAGAUAAAACGAAAUUAGUUAAAAAUGAAAUAUGCUUAUCCAACAAAAAAUGAAAUUCCAAACGUGUACAAAAAAAAAAACAUAAAAGUUACAUUAACUGGUUUUUUUCACAUAUCGUUUCCUUUGGGUCUCGUAUGAAAUAAGAUAUGAAGAUUUUUAAUGAAAUCCUGGUCAAUGGUUAUUAAAAAUAAAAACUAAUCAUUUCGUGACCGCUGCAAUUGAUAACACAAAAAAUAAAUUGAAUUCUAUUAGAAAUUGGUCAUAAAAAGAAUCAAAACUCUCAUGAAAACUAGGGACAUAGGGAAAACUAGGGAAUACAAAAUAAUGCUAUUUAAAUUCCUAGAAUAAAUGCUAAUAGAUAUUUUCAACAUUCUAAAAUCUAAUUUGAUAGUGUUUUUACUUGAGAUCAGACACAAAAUGGAAGGAACCCAUUUCAAUUUAAUAUUACAGUAUUAUAAUUGUGGAGAGUACUAUAUUUAUAUGUGUGUGCAUGUGUGUUGUUGGGCGGAGAGCGCAUGAUCUCUUGUA